CCAUACUGACACUGGUACGGGGUUCUAAGUACUAAUUUACUGAUGUCUGAGUUUAUUGAUAAUGAUAACUGAGUUUACUAAAUACUAAGAGACUGAUGUUAUAUUAGUAAUAAAGGAAAGACUAUUUUUUACAGUUUUAAUUAUGAAAAACUAGUUUGAUUGACAGUAUCUGACAGUCAUGAAACUGAAUACUAAUAACAUUGGUUUAAUAUAAUU
rnacentral:lncRNA from 1 species